rnacentral:rRNA from 1 species
CCUGGCAAGAUGCGUUAGCUAGCGGCGAGUGAGCGGCAAAAGCUCAAAUUUGAAAUCUGGCUCUUUCAGAGUCCGAGUUGUAAUUUGAAGAAGGAAUCUGGGGGUGUGCCUCUUGUAUAUUCUUCUGAGAACAAAAUGUCACAGGGGGUGAGAAUCCCGUGGGGAGGGAUGAUCCAGGCCUAUGUAAAGUUCCUUAGAAGAGUCGAGUUGUUUGGGAAUGCAGCUAUAAGGGGGUGGUAAAUUCCAUCUAAAGCUAAAUAUUGGCGAGAGACCGAUAGCCAACAAGUACAGUGAUGGAAAGAUGAAAAGAACUAUGAAAAGAGAAAAAAAAGUACGUGAAAUUAAAAAAGGGAAGGGCGAUCGAUCAGACUUGGUAUUUCCUUUGGCUCUUUUCGGGGGGGCCUCUACCAUUUAUCGGGCCCGCAUCAGUUGGGCGGUAGGAGAAAAUCCAGGAAUAUGGCACGGCUCGGUAAGUGUUAUAGCCUUUGUGGAUACUGCCAGCCUAGACUUGAGGACUGCGGGUAUUCAUAUGCUGCUGCUAGUCUUGGCA